AUGUGCACCCUUGAAAAAAAAUGGACGAGUGCCUUAGGCGUACCCUUGCGAACGGCAGACGCACGGAUGACCUCAUCACAGAAUAACCACCGCUAUGGAAUAUUUGAUGCUGAUCGCCCAGGAGUCGAGGACAUACAGCUAUCUGACCUGGGAGUACCUGCGGAGCCAAUGGAGGUCCCAGGAGAGAAUACUACUCGCCAGCAAAAACAAAAAGAUGACACGGAGGUCAUUGCCAAAGGCAUUUCUGCUAAGGGAAUACAAAAAGAUUACAUGGAUGCCCGCAAGAAGAACGUAUCUGAAGAUUUGCAGCCUGCUCCUAGUUUGCAAUCGCGAAAGCAUUCAAAAGCCAAGAUUAGCCUUGAAGCUUUCAUGGAUGAAGAAGACACAUCUGUUGCUGCAGCUUGCAAGGAGAGUCUCAAGAAUGUUUCACAGCUUUAUAAAGAGGUGGAUGCAUCGCAGGGUGCUCCGAGUUUGGAUUCGCGAAAGCAUUCCAAAGCCACCACAAGCCUUGAAGCUUUCCUGGAUCCUCUGAAUUUGAGGCACAAUGAGAAUGUGCGAAAGACUGAAGAAAGAAGAAAUCAAGAUGAUGAAGAUGUCAGUAUUGAGGUGGGUGCAGAGGCAGGUACCAGAAGCAACCACCGGUCUGCCAAGGCUAAGGGAAUAAGGGAGCCGGAAGAGCCCCAUGUCUUCCCAGUUUAUGAGGACAACUAUGAUGAUUCUUUAGCAAAGCAGCGACAAGAUAGUGGGGUUGAUUCCAUGCUACCAACUAGUGCGAGCAGCCGGAAAAGAGUGGCAUCUUCAUUAUUGUGCAAUGAAGAUUUUGUUCUGUAUGAUAGUGAUAAGAAGAGAAAGAAAAACAGGACUCCAUCGGAGUCUACCAACGAUUCCAAGGACAUAAAGAAUACAAAGAGGAAAAACCGUGCAAGCAAUUUAAAAGAUACAGACACAUGUGCUUCGACGCUGGAGACCAACCUUGACAAGUUUCGACAGAGUUAUGUGGCCGAAAUUAUCAACACCUCAGAUCUUGAUAAACAAUUGGUGGUAAUUGAUGACAUUGUUCUGCAACAGAAGCAUUUGCAAUGCCUCACCAUGACAGAUGUAGGCGAAGAUGACAAAUGGUUGGGUGACGAAUUGGUUGAUGCUGUGAUUUAG
rnacentral:rRNA from 1 species